GACGAACGCUGGCGGCGUGCUUAACACAUGCAAGUCGUGCGGAAAGGCCCUUUCGGGGGUACUCGAGCGGCGAACGGGUGAGUAACACGUGAGUAACCUGCCCCUAGCUUUGGGAUAACCCUCGGAAACGGGGGCUAAUACCGGGUAUGACUGCUGGUCGCAUGACUGGUGGUGGAAAGUGUUUGCGGCUGGGGAUGGGCUCGCGGCCUAUCAGCUUGUUGGUGGGGUGAUGGCCUACCAAGGCGACGACGGGUAGCCGGCCUGAGAGGGCGACCGGCCACACUGGGACUGAGACACGGCCCAGACUCCUGCGGGAGGCAGCAGUGGGAAUAUUGCACAAUGGGCGGAAGCCUGAUGCAGCGACGCCGCGUGAGGGAUGACGGCCUUCGGGUUGUAAACCUCUUUCGACCCUGACGAAGCGCAAGUGACGGUAGGGGGAGAAGAAGCGCCGGCCAACUACGUGCCAGCAGCCGCGGUAAGACGUAGGGCGCGAGCGUUGUCCGGAUUUAUUGGGCGUAAAGAGCUCGUAGGCGGCUCGUUGCGUCGGCUGUGAAAUUCCGCGGCUUAACCGCGGGAUUGCAGCUGAUACGGGCGGGCUGGAGUUCGGUAGGGGAGACUGGAAUUCCUGGUGUAGCGGUGAAAUGCGCAGAUAUCAGGAGGAACACCGGUGGCGAAGGCGGGUCUCUGGGCCGAUACUGACGCUGAGGAGCGAAAGCGUGGGGAGCGAACAGGAUUAGAUACCCUGGUAGUCCACGCUGUAAACGUUGGGCGCUAGGUGUGGGGGGCCUCUCCGGUUCUCUGUGCCGCAGCUAACGCAUUAAGCGCCCCGCCUGGGGAGUACGGCCGCAAGGCUAA
rnacentral:rRNA from 1 species